UAGGGAAUCUUCGGCAAUGGACGGAAGUCUGACCGAGCAACGCCGCGUGAGUGAAGAAGGUUUUCGGAUCGUAAAGCUCUGUUGUUAGAGAAGAACGUUUGUAGGAGUGGAAAAUCUACCAAGUGACGGUAACUAACCAGAAAGGGACGGCUAACUACGUGCCAGCAGCCGCGGUAAUACGUAGGUCCCGAGCGUUGUCCGGAUUUAUUGGGCGUAAAGCGAGCGCAGGCGGUACUUUAAGUCUGAAGUUAAAGGCAGUGGCUUAACCAGUAGACGCUUUGGAAACUGGAGGGAUUGAGUGCAGGAGGGGGGAGUGGAAUUCCGUGUGUAGCGGUGAAAUGCGUAGAUAUGUGGAGGAACACCGGUGGCGAAAGCGGCUCUCUGGUCUGUAACUGACGCUGAGGCUCGAAAGCGUGGGGAGCAAACAGG
rnacentral:rRNA from 1 species